rnacentral:ncRNA from 1 species
UCUUAUCAAGAGUGGUGGAGGGACUGGCCCUGUGAAACCCGGCAACCUAUUAACAGUUACUAGUUAGUAGUGAGUAGUUAAAGUGAAAGAAAUUCUUUAGAAUUUUAUAAUUAACUACUAACUAAAAGCUAAUGACUAUAUUAAUGUGGUGCUAAUUCCUGCAGUUUUUUAACUGAGUGAUGAGA